GACGAACGCUGGCGGCGUGCUUAACGCAUGCAAGUCGAACGAGAUCCAUGUAGUGGCAACACUGCGGAAGAUCGAGUGGCGAACGGGUGAGUAACACGUGAGGAACCCACCCCGAAGACCGGGAUAACCUCCGAAAGGAGAGCUAAUACCGGAUGCCCUCACCGGGUCGCAUGGUCUGGUGAGGAAAUGGAUUCCGCUUCGGGACGGCCUCGCGGCCUAUCAGGUAGUUGGUGGGGUAACGGCCCACCAAGCCGACGACGGGUAGCUGGUCUGAGAGGACGAUCAGCCACACUGGGACUGAGACACGGCCCAGACUCCUACGGGAGGGCAGCAGCGGGGAAUAUUGCGCAAUGGGCGAAAGCCUGACGCAGCAACGCCGCGUGAGGGAUGAAGGCUCUCGGGUUGUAAACCUCUUUCAGCAGGGACGAUUGUGACGGUACCUGCAGAAGAAGCCCCGGCCAAC
rnacentral:rRNA from 1 species